CAGUCGCCGCGGUAAUACGUAGGGUGCAAGCGUUAACCGGAAUUACUGGGCGUAAAGCGUGCGCAGGCGGUUUGUUAAGACAGAUGUGAAAUCCCCGGGCUCAACCUGGGAACUGCAUUUGUGACUGGCAAGCUAGAGUGUGGCAGAGGGGGGUGGAAUUCCGCGUGUAGCAGUGAAAUGCGUAGAUAUGCGGAGGAACACCGAUGGCGAAGGCAGCCCCCUGGGCCAACACUGACGCUCAUGCACGAAAGCGUGGGGAGCAAACAGGAUUAGAUACCCCGGUAGUCCCUGUCUCUUAUAC
rnacentral:rRNA from 1 species